AAACCACUGCACUGUGGAAUAAUUUGUAUGUGGCCUUAUUGCAGCAAUUGACUAGUAAAUUUGUUUUCUUGUCUGGGGCCCCAUUAGAGUGUUAGCUCCUUGAGGUCAGCUACCAUGAUAAGAAUUUCCAUAUUUCCCAAUGCCUAUUAAGGUACCUGGCACACAGUAGAUACUCAAUAAAUGUUUGUUGCAUAAUAGCGUAAAAAAUAACCAAGGGGCCCUAAGUUAAAACACAAUCUUAACUAGAAGUCCCAAAGACUAUGUACCUUUUUUUGAGUAAAAAGUUAAAAAGCAAACAAUAUAUCUCGAUAUUUUAAAGUUUAGGAAAUUUUAGGAAAAAAACUGUUCCGAAUUAGUGAGGUUUUAGAGCAAUGCCAGAAAUGAAAAAAAAAAAAAGAUCUCUAGAGAGCUGUUACAAUGUUUUCACUAUUGACUUACAAGGUAUUCUAAAAUGAUCAAUCCUUUUGCUGUUGGAGUUUUGGAAUUGAGCGUCUCUGCUGUCUCACCAAUCUCACUUUCUUCCUUUAAUACCUUGUGACAUGAUUCAAGUAGUAGGAUGCAAUUGAGACGGUAGGACCAAAGGUAAAGAUGACUACUGCCAGCUAGUCUAUCCAAGCCUGACUUUCGGAUAAAUCUCUUGAUGACUUUUCUUCCCAUAAAAUAAACAGUUUAUACACUUGUACAGCAGACUGCACAUUUUCAUCAGUUACUGCUUGGACUGUGCCUUCCUCCUGCCACUG
rnacentral:lncRNA from 1 species